rnacentral:rRNA from 1 species
GACGAACCGUGCGAACGUUAUUCGGAAUCACUGGGCUUAAAGCGCGUGUAGGCGGAUCGGUGCGUCGGCACCUGAAAGCCCCCGGCUCAACCGGGGAACGAGGUCCGAAACGACCGGUCUCGAGGGACGUAGGGGGAUCUGGAACUUCCGGUGGAGCGGUGAAAUGCGUUGAGAUCGGAAGGAACGCCCGUGGCGAAAGCGAGAUCCUGGACGUCUUCUGACGCUGAGACGCGAAAGCUAGGGGAGCGAA